GGGUUGUGAGGUUAAGCGACUAAGCGUACACGGUGGAUGCCCUGGCAGUCAGAGGCGAUGAAGGACGUGCUAAUCUGCGAUAAGCGUCGGUAAGGUGAUAUGAACCGUUAUAACCGGCGAUUUCCGAAUGGGGAAACCCAGUGUGAUUCGUCACACUAUCAUUACGUGAAUACAUAGCGUAAUGAAGCGAACCGGGGGAACUGAAACAUCUAAGUACCCCGAGGAAAAGAAAUCAACCGAGAUUCCCCCAGUAGCGGCGAGCGAACGGGGAGCAGCCCAGAGUCUGAAUCAGCUUGUGUGUUAGUGGAACGGUCUGGAAAGUCCGACGGUACAGGGUGAUAGUCCCGUACACCAAAAUGCACAGGUUGUGAACUCGA
rnacentral:rRNA from 3 species